GCCUAAUUCAAUUCAUAGCCUAAAUCGUACUCUAGCCAGGUGUAGACAUUAUAAUUGACGACAACAAUUUAGUAAUAAAGGGUUAAACUGAAAUUGAGGAAAACAAAAACAUGUCAAUAUAAGGAAAAACAUUACAAUCAAUCCACAACCACAAUGGAAGAAAAUCCAUCCUUAUUUAACAAAGCCAAGGAUGAGCAUAUAGCCAGGACAGACAUGCAAAAAGCCAUUAAUAACAAUUAAAGGCGAUUAAGCAUAGGCAUCAGGGUUUUGCCGGAGAUAGCCUUCUACAGCUUUGUACAUUCCCAGAGCCUUUUCUUUGCCAGCCUUAAUUUCCUCGUCGCUGAGCUCAAUAUCACCCUUGGUGUGGUAGGUACUCUUCAUUUUAUUUAUGCUGCCACCAUCAGGACCAGGCAAGAACUGUACCUCGUACAGAACAGUCUCAAGCUUAUCCAGCAAUCCAUGACCAUCAACCAAGCUGUAUGUGUAUGAGAAAUUCUCUGGGUCAAUUGCAUCUAUGCGAUUUUUAACGUGCUUCACUUGGUGACCUGCAAAAAUAAUAUUGUUUAGUGGAUAAUUAUCGAGUAUAAAAGCAUGUAUGUGUAUACAGUAGUGGAUUUAUAUAUGUAGACAAUGUGCCUUCUUGGAAAUUGAUCUGCCUGAUGCUGCCAACCCCUCCAUCACCUUGAGCAAAUUCAACGCUUUUAACAACCUGUGGCAUGAGUUUUGGGAUAAGGUUAUUAGAGUCAAGAACCAAAGCCUUGAACAGUCUUGCAGGGGAAAUUGGAGAAGUGUACUCAUCACUGUAAAUGAACACACCCAUGAUUUCCUACACAAUGUAGAGGAGAAGAGACUAAUUAACCAGUGAGGACGAAUUUGAACUUGGUGGUGGAGAGGAUUAGGGGUAAUAUUUAUAGGUGGGAGGAAGGACGUUAAUUUAUCUGAAAAUUUGUCUCCUAAUAGCAAGAAGUUGGGCUUUGUCCUGAAAUCAUUAUUUCAUUUUAUAAGAUUGUAUCUCCAAUGAAUAGAGAGCUAUGGAGUAAUGGAACAAAAUCCAUUAGGUUUUUAAAGGGUCUUAUUGAUCACAUCCAUUAUUCCUAAGACUGUUAGUACAAACGAGAAAAACAAAAUUCUGGGUAUCAAAGUCCCAAAACUAAUCAGACUCUGAUGACAAAUGCCACAACCAUGCCAACAGAAACAAAAAAGAGAAACUGCAGAGUCGGUACAUAGGUGAUAAUAACGAG
rnacentral:misc_RNA from 1 species